UGGCUCAGAUUGAACGCUGGCGGCAGGCCUAACACAUGCAAGUCGAACGGUAACAGGAUAGCUUGCUAUCGCUGACGAGUGGCGGACGGGUGAGUAAUACUUAGGGAUCUGCCUCUGUGUGGGGGAUAACUAUUGGAAACGAUAGCUAAUACCGCAUAAUGUCUCCGGACCAAAGAGGGCUUUUAGCUCUCGCGCAGAGAGGAACCUAAGCGAGAUUAGCUAGUUGGUGAGGUAAAGGCUCACCAAGGCGACGAUCUCUAGCUGUUCUGAGAGGAAGAUCAGCCACACUGGAACUGAGACACGGUCCAGACUCCUACGGGAGGCAGCAGUGGGGAAUAUUGCACAAUGGGGGAAACCCUGAUGCAGCCAUGCCGCGUGUGUGAAGAAGGCCUUCGGGUUGUAAAGCACUUUCAGUUGUGAGGAAAGUUUAGUACUUAAUAACCUGCUAGAUGUGACGUUAGCAACAGAAUAAGCACCGGCUAACUCCGUGCCAUCAGCCGCGGUAAUACGGAGGGUGCGAGCGUUAAUCGGAAUUACUGGGCGUAAAGCGCACGCAGGCGGUCUGUUAAGCUAUAUGUGAAAGCCCCGCGCUCAACGUGGGAGGGUCAUUUACAACUGGCAGACUACAGUCUUGGAGAGGGGAGUGGAAUUCCAGGUGUACCGGUGAAAUGCGUAUAGAUCUGGAGGAACAUCAAUGGCGAAGGCUACUCCCUGGCCAAAGACUGACGCUCAUGUUUGAAAGCGUGGGGAGCAAACAGGAUUAGAUACCCUGGUAGUCCACGCCGUAAACGAUCGAAGCUAACGCGAUAAGUAGACCGCCUGGGGAGUACGGCCGCAAGGUUAAAACUCAAAUGAAUUGACGGGGGCCCGCACAAGCGGUGGAGCAUGUGGUUUAAUUCGAUGCAACGCGAAGAACCUUACCUACUCUUGACAUACUAGAAACUUUUCAGAGAUGAAUUGGUGCCUUCGGGAAUCUAGAUACAGGUGCUGCAUGGCUGUCGUCAGCUCGUGUCGUGAGAUGUUGGGUUAAGUCCCGCAACGAGCGCAACCCUUGUCCUUAGUUGCCAGCCUUAAUUUGGGCACUCUAAUGAGACUGCCGGUGACUAACCGGAGGAAGGUGGGGACCACCUCAAGUCAUCAUGGCCCUUACGAGUAGGGCUACACACGUGCUACAAUGGAUGGUACAAAGGGAUGCAAGCCUGCGAAGGUAAGCGGACCCCUUAAAGCCAUUCGUAUUCCGGAUUGGAGUCUGCAACUCGACUCCAUGAAGUCGGAAUCGCUAGUAAUCGUAUGUCACCAUACUACGGUGAAUACGUUCCCGGGCCUUGUACACACCGCCCGUCACACCAUGGGAGUGGGAUGCA
rnacentral:rRNA from 1 species